rnacentral:rRNA from 1 species
AAUGAACGUUGGCGGCGUGGAUUAGGCAUGCAAGUCGAGCGAGAACCCAGCAAUGGGGGACAGCGGCGAAAGGGACAGUAAUGUGUAGAUUAUCUGCCCUCGGGUCCGGGAUAGCUGCGGGAAACUGCAGGUAAUACCGGAUAACAUCUCCGGAUCAAAGGUGUGAUUCCGCCCGAGGAUGAGUCUGCAUCCUAUUAGCUUGUUGGUGGGGUAAUGGCCUACCAAGGCUUUGAUGGGUAGCGGGUGUGAGAGCACGACCCGCGUCAUUGGGACUGAGACACUGCCCAGACACCUACGGGUGGCUGCAGUCGAGAAUCUUCGGCAAUGGGCGCAAGCCUGACCGAGCGACGCCGCGUGUGGGAUGAAGGCCUUCGGUU